ensembl:snRNA U6 U6 spliceosomal RNA
GUGCUCGGUUCAGCGGCACAUAUACUAAUAUUGGAAUGAUACAGAGAUUAGCACGGCCCCUGUGCAAGGAUGACGUGCAAAUUCAUGAUGCAUUCCAUAUUUUU